rnacentral:tRNA from 1 species
GGGUGUGGCCAAGCGGUAAGGCAACAGGUUUUGAUCCCACUAUUCGGAGGUUCGAAUCCUCCAUCCG